GGACCCCAGGUCAGGCGGGGCUACCCGCUGAAUU
rnacentral:rRNA from 1 species